GAGAAAGUGUCGGUCUCCAAGAUGGCGGCCGCCUGGCCGUCUGGUCCGUCUGCUCCGGAGGCCGUGACGGCCAGACUCGUUGGUGUCCUGUGGUUCGUCUCAGUCACUACAGGACCCUGGGGGGCUGUUGCCACCUCCGCCGGGGGCGAGGAGUCGCUUAAGUGCGAGGACCUCAAAGUGGGACAAUAUCCUCUGUGGAGAACACCCCCCCAUGGAGGCGAGACAGGGUCUUACUCUGUCGCCCUGGCUGGAGUACAGUGGCACGAUCUCAGCUCACUGCAGCCUCCGCCUCCCGGGUUCAGUCAAUUCUCCUGCCUCAGCCUCCUGAGUAGCUGGGACUACAGGCAUGCGCCACCACACCCGGAUCCAAAAAUAAAUGACGCUACGCAAGAACCAGUUAACUGUACAAACUACACAGCUCAUGUUUCCUGUUUUCCAGCACCCAACAUAACUUGUAAGGAUUCCAGUGGCAAUGAAACACAUUUUACUGGGAACGAAGUUGGUUUUUUCAAGCCCAUAUCUUGCCGAAAUGUAAAUGGCUAUUCCUACAAAGUGGCAGUCGCAUUGUCUCUUUUUCUUGGAUGGUUGGGAGCAGAUCGAUUUUACCUUGGAUACCCUGCUUUGGGUUUGUUAAAGUUUUGCACUGUAGGGUUUUGUGGAAUUGGGAGCCUAAUUGAUUUCAUUCUUAUUUCAAUGCAGAGACAGGGUCUUGCUCUGUUGCCCAGGCUGGAGUGCAGUGGCGUGAUCAUAACUCAUUGCAGCCUCGAAUUCCUGGGUUCAAACAAUCUUCCUGCCUCAGCCUCCCAUCCAGUAUGGGAUAUUUUAAAAGAUUGUUGGACCUUCAGAUGGAAGUAGUUACAUUAUAGAUUACUAUGGAACCAGACUUACAAGACUGAGUAUUACUAAUGAAACAUUUAGAAAAACGCAAUUAUAUCCAUAAAUAUUUUUUAAAAGAAACAGAUUUGAGCCUCCUUGAUUUUAAUAGAGAACUUCUAGUGUAUGGAUUUAAAGAUUUCUCUUUUUCAUUCAUAUACCAUUUUAUGAGUUCUGUAUAAUUUUUUGUGGUUUUUGUUUUGUUGAGUUAAAGUAUAUUAUUGUGAGAUUUAUUUAAUAGGACUUCCUUUGAAAGCUGUAUAAUAGUGUUUCUCGGGCUUCUGUCUCUAUGAGAGAUAGCUUAUUACUCUGAUACUCUUUAAUCUUUUACAAAGGCAAGUUGCCACUUGUCAUUUUUGUUUCUGAAAAAUAAAAGUAUAACUUAUUCACA